CGCCCCGGAGGACGCAGGCCCUCCCCCACCCUGAGCUUCCCUAUUCCUCCUCCGCGGAACCCCGCCUCCACUCACUCCUCCUCCGCCUCCACCGCCACCUCGUAGUUUCUCAAUCCCGGCAUGUCCUGGGCUCCGAUUGUCUCCUGGGGAGCGGCAUGGUUGGACCAAGUAUUCCCUAGCCCCAGGUCCCCUUCUCCGUCAUUCCCAGGACGAAUCUAGUUAUCAGGACAAAGUACCCCCCAGUCAUCCUUGAGGAGGUUGAAAAGAAGAAAGCAGAAGAUACCACACCCUUUCUCCAUAAAACAUCAAUACACUAAGAAGAGGAAUGGUGCCAUGCUGGAGGUCAAGGAAGAUGCACCGAGGACACUUGACAAGAAUCUCUGGAGCAGCAAGUGGACGUGUGUGGGUGUGGAUGUGCAGGAGUCCUGCUUAUGUGGUCUGUAUGAGACUACUGUAUGUGAAGUUGGAUCUGGGAGAGAACAGGAGAAUGAUCUGAGGGUGAGAGGCUCUAGGAUAUAUAUGUAAACCUGUGGGAGGCUGUGAUUAUUUCCUGUUUACAGCCCCCUAGACUUUUUCAUUUUCCAGCAAUUCUCUCCCUUCCAGUGUAUAAUGAAGAAUUUUACGGUACUUUUCCCUUCUCUCUGGUGUAUAAUAAAGUAUUUGACUGGCA